AACGAACGCUGGCGGCAUGCCUAACACAUGCAAGUCGAACGGGAUCCUAGCUUGCUAGGUGAGAGUGGCGGACGGGUGAGUAACACGUGGGAAUCUGCCUUUUGGUUCGGAAUAACCCUGGGAAACUAGGGCUAAUACCGGAUACGCCCUUAUGGGGAAAGGUUUACUGCCGGAAGAUCGGCCCGCGUCUGAUUAGCUAGUUGGUGGGGUAACGGCCUACCAAGGCGACGAUCAGUAGCUGGUCUGAGAGGAUGACCAGCCACACUGGGACUGAGACACGGCCCAGACUCCUACGGGAGGCAGCAGUGGGGAAUAUUGCGCAAUGGGCGAAAGCCUGACGCAGCGACGCCGCGUGGGUGAUGAAGGCCUU
rnacentral:rRNA from 1 species